CUGCAAGGAGUGUGGGCCUCCCAGGCUGUCCCUUCUGGAUUCGGCUUUACUUUAAGAGGAGAUUCAGACAUAGACAAGAAUGAUUACCCUGGAGGAUAAAGUCCCUGCCCUGUUUCUGACACGAUGCCUGGUGCUGUGGAUGCAAAGAUUCUUUCUUUCUUCAUUUCAGCCCCUACCAUUCCAUAAAAUCUUUGUGAUAUGCAAACCCAAAGAAAGAUCCCUGCCCUGGAAGAGCUUAUAGUCUAUUUUCUUGGUCAUUUCCAAAGAGUAAAUUCUUACAAUUUGUCUGUUAUUUAUAAAGUGUCCAAUCUCAAGAUAUAAACAUUUCACCUUAUUUGGAAACAAAACAAAGCGCAUGAUCCCUUGGAAUCAGUUUUCAUAAUGGAACUUUCCUGUCUGGUGUUGUGUCAAUAGACGCAGAUCAGACCAAGUGCCACCUGUACUACACUUGUCUAAAUACUGGAGUUCAGAUUACACAGGAAGAACAGAGUCUGUGUUUCUUCAAAUCAGUAGCUCUUUUCCUCUGACAUAGCGAAAAUGCACUGUUGUGCAGGGAGAAACGAAUGUCAACAGAAAAAAUGUGAAAAUCAUUGAAAACGGUGAAAUUCUGAUAUGUUUUCAAAACUGGUAGACUUAGAAACUUUGCUUUCUGACUUCAUAGAUUUGAACCCUUGGAAAAGAGUUUUAUUCCAUGAGUCAUAGGUACUCAGGUGGUAGCCCUUGACUUACUGUCUUCCUUAAUCUCACAGACGGAGCUCCUGCAGUAGUCCCCAACCUUUCUGGCACCAGGGACUGGUUUCGUGGAAGAAACUUUUCCACAUACCAGGAGUUGGGGCAGGGAUGACUUGGGAUGGUUUCGGGCCUUAUAUUUACUGUAUACUUUAUUUCUAUUAUUAUUAUAUCAGCUCCACCUCAGAUCAUCAGGCAUUAGGUCCUGGAGGUUGGGGACCCCUACUAGAUGACUUUCAUUUGACUUGUUGAACAUGGUUGUUAUUUAGUCACUCAAUCUUGUCCAACCAUUUGAAAUCCCACGGACAACAGCCCGCCAGUUUCUCUGUCCAUAGCAUUCUCCAGGCUAGAAUACUUGAGUGGGUUGCUAUUUCCUUCUCAAUUAAACAUUAGCAUGCACAUCUUUUAAAACAUGGAUCUUUGGAGUCCAGUCCUGAGUCUCUCAUCUGAAUCUGAUGCUGUGUCUAUAUAACAAUAAACUUUCAACUUUUUAAACUGAAGUAUAGUUGAUUCACAAUAUUGUGUUAGUUUCAGCUAUACAGCCAAGUGACUCAGUUAUGUGGAGAUAUAUAUAUAUAUAUAUAUAUAUAUAUGUUCUGAUUAUUUUCCUUUAU
rnacentral:lncRNA from 1 species